rnacentral:lncRNA from 1 species
GUUUUUUGUGCGUCAGGAGACCCGACUGACUGGUGGGUACUAGUUAGUAUGUAUGCCAACCAGUAUGUCUCCAUUUCCUUCCCCAAUGAGUCUUUUCCUACUAAACAUUAAAUCUGAUUAUUUUUUUAGCUUCUAUUCCCUUAAUUGUUUUAGCGCAAAUUCACAUUCUAUUAAUUUGCAGUUACUCUUGGCCUGGCUAUACAAUUGUAUCCAGUGUCUUUUCUUCCCUACGGGAGUCACUGGAAUGGGACUGUUGUGAUCAGACAGACACAUCCCCAAGGGUGGGAUUUUAGUCUCUUCUCUCCAACUGCAUAUUUUCAGAAGCAGGGCAGGAAGCUGGAUCUCCUUGAUCACAUUUUGGGAUCUACCAAGGAAUGGACAGAGAGCAGGAGCCACAUGCUCCUAGUUGUAACAGCAAGGACAGAAUGAAUUUUCUGGAAGCUGGCCAGGCUGAGUGAGUCACAUUCCCAGCCCUGUGAUCCAAUGCCUCCUCCUGCUUCUCCACUCCCUUUGGAGUCCAGUGGGCUGACGCAUGCUCUCCUGCAGCCUGUACUCCUCAGACCUAGAGCUUGGAGCUUGGAGCCCAUAACCCUUCAUCACCCGGAUCUUCUGCUUACUAUUCAACACUACAAGAAGGCAGAGACGUGUGUGCAUGAGCAUGGCUUCCUGUGGGGACCCAGUGCCCACUGCAGCAUUCUCUGGCAAGACCACUGCCUCCCUCAGUCCCAGAUUUAGCGCCUCCACCCCUGCAGGAAAGCUCCUGGGUGAAGGAUCCUACUGGAGGUGACUGUCCAGGGGGCUGCAGGGCAGGGUAUCGGGCCAGGUGGCUUCUCCCGCUCAUCUCCACCCUGUGGUGGGGGCUCUCCUUUCCCAUGCUGCCUCCUCUCCCUAUUCCUUAAACCCUGGGAGCCACCAUCUGGGAGGUGCUUGAAGCCUCAGCUUUGUUGGCCCCUGCUAAGAGUGAGAGGUACUGGCUUUGCUAACGGCUCCUUGAGUGGCAGUAUCACCAUUAUAAGUGAUGUAAGUCACCAACACUUAAUUGAUGUUAUAAACACAAUAUUUAUGAUACAGUUAGGGAAACGAUGUGUUCUCUUAUUCCUAUACAUCAUGGAACACGCAGGGCUCUCUUCAGACCUCUACUUCUCCCUUCUCUGCUGUUCUGGUCACCUCUAUCAAGUCCUCUGCCUGCUCCAGGCCUGGGCAGGCAGAGGGGAGGUGGGCAAUCUGAAAACUCAGGUGAUCUAAAGAGCUGGACAGAGCUUGCAUCAUUUUGGUUUGGUUUUGGAAUGUGUACUGACUU